ensembl:lncRNA VIPR1-AS1 VIPR1 antisense RNA 1
GAACCACAGCACAGACUCUCCAAAGAGAAGCCAGGCCAAGAAGAAUCCCAGGACUGGAAGGCCUUGUGGGACGUCCCAGGCACAUGCCAGGGACUGGGCACAUGGUAUGAACAAGACACAGGUCAUCGGUGUCCUCUUGAGCUCCCUGGCUUGGCAGCAGAUGCAUACCUGGGAAGGAUGCUAGGUCAUCCGGGAACUCUACCUCCUUCAAAUCCCUAAGGACUGUGCUCCCAAUCCGCUUACGCUCAAGG